UAGGGAAUCUUCGGCAAUGGACGAAAGUCUGACCGAGCAACGCCGCGUGAGUGAAGAAGGUUUUCGGAUCGUAAAACUCUGUUGUUAGAGAAGAACAAGGACGUUAGUAACUGAACGUCCCCUGACGGUAUCUAACCAGAAAGCCACGGCUAACUACGUGCCAGCAGCCGCGGUAAUACGUAGGUGGCAAGCGUUGUCCGGAUUUAUUGGGCGUAAAGCGAGCGCAGGCGGUUUCUUAAGUCUGAUGUGAAAGCCCCCGGCUCAACCGGGGAGGGUCAUUGGAAACUGAGAGACUUGCGUGCAGAAGAGGAGAGUGGAAUUCCAUGUGUAGCGGUGAAAUGCAUAGAUAUAUGGAGGAACACCAGUGGCGAAGGCGGCUCUCUGGUCUGUAACUGACGCUGUGGCUCGAGAGCGUGGGGAGCAAACAGG
rnacentral:rRNA from 1 species